rnacentral:rRNA from 1 species
UCAAUCUCGUGCGGCUAUAUAUACCGCCGGUCCCUCUAAGAAGAUUUUCAUUGUACGCCGGUAGUGAAGACCGCGAAACGCGCGCGACGCACCGUNNNCCGUGACGCUUUCACGCCGCGGGAGCCGACACACGCACGCGGGCCCUCGUGAUACCGGUUGCACGUCUAUUUAAUAGGCUAGAGUUACGUUCGUUAC